rnacentral:tRNA from 1 species
UCGCGCAUGGGUGAUUCACAAUCCACUGCCUUGAUCCACUUGGCUACAUCCGC